rnacentral:lncRNA from 1 species
GUUCAAGUUUUCUUGUCUUUGGUGAUGAGGUGAAAUACCCAUUGCGUUGAAGCAUACUUAUCAUGUAUAAAUCACUUGUAUAUCCUCAAACAUAGGCCUAAACCAUCAUUGUUUUGCUUCGUAUUAUCAUCCAAAUGAAUUACUUAAAUAAGGCACUUGACACUUUCAAUACGGCAGUUGUCUCCCCUUAUAUCAUGUUAUGUUAUGUUCACAUCUCUUACAAGUUACCCUGUUGGAAAGCUUGAUCAUGUUCAAGGUGGUCAAACUUUUGCAUUGACUUAUGGAGAAAGUCAAAUUGAAGGGAUUGUCAAGCUUGCCUAUACAAAAGUAUCUCAAUGAGGAAUUUAAGUUUUAAUGUUGUGACCAGGUUUGGAAUGGGAAAAAUCCUACUGAGGUUAUAAGUUAUAACAGAACUAUGUGGCUUUGUGACAAUCCUUUCCGGAACAUUCCUACUUCACAGAACCAAAGACAUGGUUUAGGAUAUGCUGCUUUACUUUAUUGAGUCCAUUAUUUAUUUUUAAAAUUGCUUAAACUUACAAUCUUGGCAAGUGUGAUCAUGAUAUCUUGACACUUAAAAGUUUUAAUUAUAGUUAGGCUAGAUAUAAGCAUUCCCAGUUAGUUUUAUUUUAUGUAUAUGUGAUUAGAAAGUAGAAUCGUAAUUCGGUCUAUUAUAGACAUAUUUGAAGCCACCAAAUGUACUGACAUAUUUUUCUAACUCUUAUUCUCUUUUUUUUACUCUUUUAUAUUAAGUUACAUCGCGUAUGCAAACUUAUUCUUCUAUAUAUUUUUUGUUAUAAAAUUGAUGAUUUUGGACUUUUUUAACAUAUGCGAUUAUCUGUAUAAUAUUUCCUUUGUUGAUUUAUCUACUUUAAAUUCUACUGUUCCAUAGUCUUUCUUAUCUAUGGAAGGGGACCUGGGACAACAAGCAUGGCUAUGGCUAUGGUGCCAAUGCUUUUGCCCGAUCAAAGGAUUGGAUACAUUAUGUAAGUGAGAAUCUAUUUGAACCUGUUUCAUUUAAAUUUUAACCGUGCAGUUGCUACCUAAUGGUGUUACCUAUCAUUGACGUUUUAAAUUAAUGUAGGUUUUUGUUUGUGACAGGUAACAACCAGGUGCACACACACCCAGUUUCCCCUGUUUACACAACUCAGGGAUCUUAGUGUGUUGUCAUGGAUAUUGUUGUGUCGUUUCUUUUAGUAUGACCGAUCAAUUUUUACUAAUAAUUUAAAUGAAAUAUACUUUGAUAUUAUUAAACAAACUUUUUUGUUUAGAAUGCAAAGAAAGUUAGUUGGGUUUGGGUUAUAUAUAUUUAAAAUGUAUAAAAUAUAUUCAGUUUUGGCUUCUUUUGGUUGAUCAGAUAGAGUACAAGAAUGGGGAUAAGAUUGGAAGGAUGGGGAAACGUUGACAUGAUUAUCAUGUGGAUUGCAUCAAGAAGUGGCCAUUGAUAAAGAGAUUAUGUCUAGUAUGCAAAACCAAAUGCUCAAGUUAAGAACAAAGUCAACAAUUUGCUUGCUUUACAAGGUGAAAAUGCCAAAUAUGAAUAUCAUUCCAAACACAUUCACAUGUACCAUCAAUUUCUUCUACCUUAUUGGUAUGAUCUUAUGGUUGGCAUGCAGUGAACCUCAAAGUUUCAAGAAGGUAGACUAAAGGAUAAUACAAGUUUUAAGAAGAUAGAUUAAAGAAUGGUACUUUUGAUUGUAUUGUUGUUUUAUUUUGUGUACACUUAAUAUAUAUUAGCUUUGUUUGUCACGUUGUUCAUAUAGUUUUGUGUAAUCUGACUCUAUAUUAUU